AUUGAACGCUGGCGGCAUGCCUUACACAUGCAAGUCGAACGGCAGCGGGGACUUCGGUCCGCCGGCGAGUGGCGAACGGGUGAGUAAUGUAUCGGAACGUACCAUUGAGUGGGGGAUAACUAUCCGAAAGGAUAGCUAAUACCGCAUAUUCUCUCCGGAGGAAAGCAGGGGACCGCAAGGCCUUGCGCUCAUUGAGCGGCCGAUAUCAGAUUAGCUAGUUGGUGAGGUAAAGGCUCACCAAGGCGACGAUCUGUAGCGGGUCUGAGAGGAUGAUCCGCCACACUGGAACUGAGACACGGUCCAGACUCCUACGGGAGGCAGCAGUGGGGAAUUUUGGACAAUGGGGGCAACCCUGAUCCAGCCAUGCCGCGUGAGUGAAGAAGGCCUUCGGGUUGUAAAGCUCUUUCGGCCGGGAAAAAAUCGCAUGGGUUAAUACCCUGUGUGGAUGAUGGUACCGGAAUAAGAAGCACCGGCUAACUACGUGCCAGCAGCCGCGGUAA
rnacentral:rRNA from 1 species